rnacentral:rRNA from 1 species
AUGGUGACCACAGCGAGAGAGAGAGAGAGAGAGCGGCAGUCGGAAGCUAGCCGUGGAGGGUGCGGCGGCGUUGAGAUCCCCUUCGGCUCCGAGCUCAAUGUCUUCCUCAAGCUCCCGUGCCACCUCGUGGAUGUAGAGCCGGGCGCGUGUGGACAUCCAGUCUUCGUCUGUCCAUGGUGCUGGGUGGGCGUUGUUCGGAGGGUUUCUACGCCGAGGAACGAGAACCGUCUGUUCUAUGUGUGCAGCGAGAAUGGGGUGGCAUGCUUCUUUCUUUGGGUCGAUGCUCUGGCCAAGACUCUGAUGAAUGAACUGCAAGAAGAGCAUGAAGAAUGGUUGUGCAUGCUGCCACGAACAGCAGUGGCCGCAGCACGAGCUCCGGAAGAAGAGAUGGAGGGGGAACCACGCAAUGAUAGAGAGCUAGCUGUUGAGCUCAGGAUGUUGAAGAAGAAGGUUAGGAAGCUUGAAGAUCAAGCACUACCAAUACCCAUUUGCAAAUACUCUUGGGCAUUUGUAGGUAUGGUAAUCGCACUGGUUGUAAUGUUGAAAAUGUAUGGAAAGGCAUGA